rnacentral:lncRNA from 1 species
AUUUGCUGUCACAUUCACACUCUGUUCUUCAGCAGUUAAACAUGUUUGCUGUAUUCAAAAACUAGCAAAGGUGAGUAAGAAUGAGAUGGAGGGAUCAUUUUCAUAGACACAUGCUGUAUAAUAUCUAUGUGUCUAUCAUUUUCUUCAGCUUGCAGGCUGCAGUGGAGUCAGCUGUGAAUGCUAUCGUGUCUUACAGGCAGUGCAACAUGCCAAAAGCAUCGACUGAGACAAACUGAGCCCUGACCAAAGCAGGUUCUGACAGUGGCGGUCACCAUGGAGGAGAGGGAGCGGCAGUCUAAUGGAGAGGAAAGAGGUGAUGUUGAAUCCCCCACAGGACAGUCAGUCACGGA